rnacentral:rRNA from 1 species
CACGUAGGGCGCAAGCGUUGUCCGGAAUUAUUGGGCGUAAAGAGCUCGUAGGUGGUUUGUUACGUCCGCUGUGAAAACCUAGGGCUUAACCCUGGGCUUGCAGUGGAUACGGGCAGACUAGAGGUAGGUAGGGGAGAAUGGAAUUCCCGGUGUAGCGGUGAAAUGCGUAGAUAUCUGGAGGAACACCGGUGGCGAAGGCGGCAUCCUGGACCAACACUGACACUGAGGAGCGAAAGCCAGGGGAGCAAACGGG